GGUGACAAUACUUUCUCUGAAAUCCCUUCAUGCCGUUUGACUGACUCUUCCCAUUAGCCAAUCCCGCUGAAGAGAGCGCUCUGCUUGCCAAAUGCCCAGUGAGCCCCUGUAGGAUCGAUUCAACCGCACACCAUCUGCAUCAAUAGAAUUAGUAUUGACACUAUUCAUUAGCUAUGCAACCACAAUAGAGUCUCGCUUUUUCCAUCAUCUCAAUAUUACUUCAAAGUAGGGCAGAGGCUAUUCUGCUGCUCAUCUUUUCACUUUCCCUUCUUCUCUGAUUUUUUUUUCUGCAUUACUUGCUUGCUUGAUUUUUCCCCCUUUCCUCCAUCCCUCUUCUGUCUGUACUUUCAUUCCUUCGUUCACCUGAUGCUUCUCUGCUGGGGUUGUCGCACAUUCAGGCCGGUGGGCUAUAUUUGGUCCGGCGGAUGAUUAAAAGCACUGGCCUAACCUCUGCCUCAGACAGGCCGAUCCAUCCCACAGACACCCCACUGCUGCCACACGGGGGGGAGGCUGAAUAAUUUAUGCACAAUAUUGAACAUGAAAGAAGAGCUGGUAACACGCUAAAGCCCACCAGCACCCUUUCCGAUCUCUCCGGAUUGUAAAGAUGGAUACUGCAUUGAGCUGCAUUUUGUUUGUGUGCCGGUCCCUCUCAGCUGUCCUCCUGCAGCACAGGGGCUCCGGCUACUUUGAUAUGUGGGGGUAAAGGAAAAUAGGGGAGGGAAUGCUGUAAUUGGAAGAAACAGUUGAGAAUGGUCAAGGAGCACUCAGAAGAUUACUUUGAGGAUUAGUAAUUUUCGUAGAAAAUUUCUGUUUUUCUGAAACAUGUUGCCUAGCAACCCUUGAGUCGGAGACAUCCAGCGCUCCGGGGCUUUUGUUCCAGCCAAACACCCGAUGGUCAAUAUAAUUUAAACCCAGUGGAGGAGCGCCGGGUCGGGCCUGCCUCUAAUGCACAGCACAGUUUCCUGCAGUCGCAGCAGACUUUGUGCUGGAGUUAUGGUGCAGCCUCACCUCCCAAGUGCCCUCGUAGCUCUGCUUCUUGAGGCGAACAGCCCAGUUAUCGAGGCAUGCGUCGAAGCAGUGGUCCAUGCUGAGGAUAACCGGCCGGCUCAGGACCACCCCUGGAGGACCACAACUCACCACGGGGCUGAGGAGGGUCUGGCAGCCGGCCAGGGGUAACCUAUGCCAGGGGGCGGAGAGAGCAAGAAGUGCGUGAGUUGAAAUGAGGAGACAGCGGCAAAAAAAAAGCAAAAUAUGCUACAUCUGCAAAUGAUCAAGAAAACAAUUAAACCUGCUGGACGGACUGGAUCACAGAAGUCUGACUGUCUCCUCAGAGGCUGAGCGCAUCAAGGCAAAUAAACAGGG